GGUUUUGUAGUGUAGCGGUUAUCACAGCGGAUUCUGAUCUGAUUUCCAAUCGGAAUUUCCGUUAACCCAAGUUCGAAUCUUGGCAAGACCU
rnacentral:tRNA from 1 species